AUUGAACGCUGGCGGCAGGCCUAACACAUGCAAGUCGAGCGGAUGAAGGGAGCUUGCUCCUGGAUUCAGCGGCGGACGGGUGAGUAAUGCCUAGGAAUCUGCCUGGUAGUGGGGGAUAACGUCCGGAAACGGGCGCUAAUACCGCAUACGUCCUGAGGGAGAAAGUGGGGGAUCUUCGGACCUCACGCUCUCAGAUGAGCCUAGGUCGGAUUAGCUAGUUGGUGGGGUAAAGGCCUACCAAGGCGACGAUUCGUAACUGGUCUGAGAGGAUGAUCAGUCACACUGGAACUGAGACACGGUCCAGACUCCUACGGGAGGCAGCAGUGGGGAAUAUUGGACAAUGGGCGAAAGCCUGAUCCAGCCAUGCCGCGUGUGUGAAGAAGGUCUUCGGAUUGUAAAGCACUUUUAGUUGGGAGGAAAAGCAGUAAGUUAAUACCUUGCUGUUUUGACGGUACCAAAAGAAUAAGCACCGGCUAACUUCGUG
rnacentral:rRNA from 1 species